rnacentral:rRNA from 1 species
UACGUAGGGCGCGAGCGUUGUCCGGAUUUAUUGGGCGUAAAGAGCUCGUAGGCGGCUUGUCGCGUCGUCCGUGAAAACCCACAGCUCAACUGUGGGCUUGCGGUCGAUACGGGCAGGCUAGAGUUCGGUAGGGGAGACUGGAAUUCCUGGUGUAGCGGUGAAAUGCGCAGAUAUCAGGAGGAACACCGGUGGCGAAGGCGGGUCUCUGGGCCGAUACUGACGCUGAGGAGCGAAAGCGUGGGGAGCGAACAGG